UUAGACAAAAAUCCAUCACCUUUAUUACUAAGACGAGGUUACUUUGACUCACCCCCUUCACCUGCCCCGGUCCGAAGGUUUGGAGAAGGAUCACCAUCUCUCUCUAGAAGAUACGUGACCCCAACACCACCCAUUCCACCUCCUAGGAGAAUAUCAGAAUGUAACUCAGUGCCAACGAGUCCACAGUGUCUGCAGGCACGAUUCCACUACACUCCUGAACCCCAGCGUAGAAUCAUUUGUGACUUCAACAAUGUAUAAUCCCUUUUGUCUACCAGGGUAAGUUGCAUGUAUUAUUUAUUUUUACGCACUUUCAUCCAAAGAUUUUGGCUUUGAAAGAGCUAAAAUGAACAUGAAUUUGACUCUAGUGGGUUCUUUCUGUCUAGGCAAUUUAUUUUCAUUUGGAUGUUCAUUAGCCACAAAGGCAGUACCAGAAAACUCAUGAGAUUUCAGGUCUCCUAAGCUUCUUUUACAUCUGAGCCUAAGAUUCCUACUUAAACGAAAUUGAAGGUGAAUUGCUUGUACUUAUUCCAGUCUCUUAAUGGGUCUAGUGCUCGCCAUAGAUAUACUGCUUUGCUGAGGAAAAAUGCCGUUUAAAGCUGUGAAUACUUUCUUUUAAUUUUUCAGCCAAUUUUGUCAGCGAUUCAAUCUAAAAUAUCUGAAAAUUUUAAGGAAAAAUAUGCAUACCUGUCUUUCAAAAUAAAUUUUUUAGCACGGAAAAUUUGGCAACAAUCGAUUGUUUAUGCGGCAUUUUUCCUCAGGAUGGCGGAACAGGUGAAUGAAUAGACUUUCUACAAAUAAAAUUUGGCAAAUUCUAGGAAACUUCAAAAAUGUCUGAAAUCCACUUUUGAGUGCGCGAUCUGCGUAGUUUUCAAGACCUUUUUUCAAAUUUCUUGUGUUUAAAGGCAGGUUUUCUUAGUGGCUGGCAAUCAACUUAGGGGGAGGGGGGAGAGACGCAAGAAAACAUACUCUAAAUGAACCUAUAAUCUUGCAAACUUUUUUUCGCAUAUGAGGACUUAUCUGUAACAGUAGCGGAUGUCGAGUUUUCACAUUGUGAGAAAAUCGCGUUUGAAGUUUUUGAAGCCUUGCACUUUUCUGCCGGCAGAAGCGAGAGGAUUCUUAUUAAGAUUUUCAUAAAGAGCAACUCUUCCGGUAAAAUCACACGUUUUACGAUCUAUGUAAGUGAAAAAUUGAAGGAAUAACAGCGAUUUGAAAAAAAUGUGACAUCCGCUAUUUUUACUGCAAACACUUUUUUAUGCAUGAAACAAAGUUUUCAGGAAGGGUAAGGUGAAUCUACCUAUGUAUGAGGGGUUAAAAAAUCAUGGAUUUACAAGAAAAAAAACUUGAAUGUGCUCAAUUUUUCUCUGUCGUGAGUUUUUUUGACCGUUGGAACAAGAAUUUCUGGAAAUCUUAAUUUGGAAAGGGAUACCAGAGAAUGUUGAGGUCAACUUGAAAAUUAAAUUUGCUUUUGCAUUUUUAUGUACCUUAUUAGACAGAUAGAUAGUGCGUACAUAUCCUUGCACUGUGUCAGAUCACUCUCAUAAUUCUUUAUCUCCACUUUUUUCUUACUUUUCAGGUUGGCUAAGUACAAGAUUGAAGAGUGGAGACUUAUCAUAGUUUUAUUUCUUAUUAAAUUUUUUUAGGUCCAUUUUAAAUGUUAAUUUGAGUCAUUCAUAUGAAAUCUAUGAUUAUAUGGUUUUAAUAAUGGUACUCUGCGUUUUCUACAGGGUGUUUGAACUAAUCAUUGUAUAAAUCCGAAUUGAAUUCGGACCUGUAAACAAAUAAAAAACUUUAUGUAAUAUUAUCAUUAAAUGCAUACAUUUCUUUAGUAAGAGGAGUUCAAGUUAUUUGACCACAGCCAGAGGAAAAAGGGUAAUCAGAAAAAGGCUGAUCAUAUUCCUUUCUGAAGAAAGUGCUGUCCAUCAGAGCUAUGAAUAGGAAGCGCUGUCCAUAAGAGCUAUGAUGGCUUGAUGUUGGGAAAGCUAGAAAUGGUAAGAACUGGGAGUGACUCUAUUUUAAUGAUAUUUUUUGUAAAUAAUCGAUAGAAAAAUCAGAGAGCCUCUUUUUCAUAAAGAUUGAACAUCCCAAAAGAAUUUCAUCAGCUUUAUGAGUCGCCCAGUUUUUCAAUUCCAGUGUUAGUCUGAGCCUUUUUGGAACUGCCUUUAUGCGCACCUCACUUUUUUGCGUAAGAACUCCUUUAUAGACAAGAAGUGUGUGUUUUUAUUGUCGAAUAGAAACUUCUGUUCAUUACCAGACUGAGCCUUAAAAUUUUGGCACCUCACAGCUCAAACACCCUGUCCGCCGGGUUUUGAACUCCCUCUUAUUCUGCAAAUAUUGACAAAUUUUAAGUCUAUUUUUAUCGGUGGAAUUUAUUGUGUAAUUCUCAGAAAGCUAGUCGAAAUUUAGUUCCCUUAAUUUUAAUUU
rnacentral:lncRNA from 1 species